rnacentral:rRNA from 1 species
UACGGGGGGGGCAAGCGUUGUUCGGAAUUACUGGGCGUAAAGCGCGCGUAGGCGGCUCUUCAAGUCGAGUGUGAAAGCUCCAGGCUUAACCUGGGAAUUGCGCUUGAUACUGUUGAGCUAGAGUGUGGAAGGGGCUACUGGAAUUCCGUGUGUAGCGGUGAAAUGCGUAGAUAUACGGAGGAACACCAGCGGCGAAGGCGGGUUGCUGGGCUGACACUGACGCUGAGGCGCGAAAGCUAGGGGAGCGAACGGG